rnacentral:lncRNA from 1 species
CAACGAUGCUCUUGGAGGAUAGGGACAGAGACUGCGCGCCGCGCCACUCACUUUGUUCAGCAUCUGAAAGCCAAAAGCAAAGAGGAAAAUGAUAAUAAAACUAAAUGAUUCAGCUACCGAGCUGUAGCUAAGGGUCAGCCUUAUUUCUCCCGAAGCGACCCAGCAGCUAUGCUUACCUCGGGGUUAAUCUCCAUCGGCUUCAGCUGCAUCUUCGCGGAUGGCACCUGCAGACACAAACCCGAGGAGCCGAAAAAACAGCCGGUGGAGCCGCCCAGGCUGCUGUUAUAAAGCGCCGGCCUCGCUCACUGGGAAAGCCUGAGCAGGGGAGACGGGAGCAGAAACAAGCAGAGGAGGAAGGCCAAGAGGGCUCGAACUCCCCCAUGCACCGCACAGAAUGGUACAAGCCAAGCCCCCAAACCUUGCAGUCUCACUCGCCGAAGUGCUCCCCGGACUGGGCAUGGUAGCACGCACCUGUGAUUCCAGCAGCUGAGAGAGAGGCCGAGCCCACAUGGAAUCCAUUGUGCAGUGCUAGAGGAGGUCAGAAGAGGGCAUUGGAUCCCCCAGAACUGGAGUUAUACGGUAACCUCGUGGUGGUUGUGAACCACCAUGUGGAUGGAUAUUGAGUUCCAAACACUGGUCCUGUGCAAGAGCAUCCAGUGCUCUUAAGUGCUGAGCCAUCUCUUUAGCUCCAGUCUCUUAAAAAACAAACAAACGAACGAACAGCAAGGGAGCUGGGUAUGACAACACAUACUAUAAUUCUAGUACUCAGGAUGCUGAAACAGGAGGAUUGCCUGACUGGGAGAUAUAAGGAGAAUCUGUUGUCACCCCCACCCCUCCCCAUAAAGGCAGAAUAAAAGAACGUCCUAUAAACAAAUAAACAAACAACCCAAUAAAACAAAACCAAGAUCUCUCCACCUUUUCUUUGCUUUUUCAGACUUUGUAAUAAGGCCCUUUGGAGUGCAGGAUAUUCGGCAGGACAAGCAGAGAGGGAGACCAUCAGUUCUUUCUUUGAUCAAGAAGACUAUGUUCCUUAGCAAACUGGUGUGUAUUAUCUCUUAUGCAAUGAGCCUGGAAAGAGGGCACAGCCACCGAGGAUGGUACAGCAUGGAUGGAUGGUACGCUACAGAGACUCGGGAGCCCAACUGUGAGUGGCUGACUGGCAUGGUAGGUUCAGGGAAGAAUUGGCCUGUGAAGAAAAUGUUCUUGAAAAGUGAACAAGGUGCAGGAGGUAGGAGUGGGUCCUGGGCAAAGCAGGGGGUGCAUCCCAGCCUCAGGGAAUAGCACAGCAGAGGUCUGUUGAUGCAUGCGAGUGCAUGACCUGCUUGCCAAUAGACGAUCAAGAAUGGGCAAAGCAUCAUGGGUGAUGAGUGGGAGAGGGGAUGAGACAUUCCUUUCUCCCUGCUGAGACUUCCAUUGAACCGAUGAGUUCUGAAUAGAAGAUGCCCCCCCACCCCCCCACCAGUGUAGAAUCUGAAGGGAGGCAUAUAUUACCCUAUAUUACUCUGUGUUGGCGGCGAGCUAUCUGACAGCCAACCUUCCCAUACAUUUCAUUGGGCAUACACUAAUGACAGGAAGUUCCUUUUGCUUGUAUGCAAGAGAUGGCUCACACGAUGGAGAAUUUAAUCUUGUUAGUUUGUUAUUUAUGUGUCCUAAAUUUUGUUCAAUAAAAAUGAAACACUCCUAUG